rnacentral:lncRNA from 1 species
GGGUGUGACCUCUUAUAUCUAAUUAGCUUUAUCAACCCUUUCCCCAUACCCAUUCAGAGGGGAAAAAAAAAAACAAACCUUUUAAUGAUAAAAACAUCAUUCGCUUUGCUUAAAAAUAGCAACAGUCACACACAAAAAAAUUAAAUAAAUAUUUUCCAUAGUCUAUUGACUGCUGUCAUGUAGGCCUGAGCCCCAUCACCUUUCUUCCCUGAGCAUCCCAGGUGAUUUGAUGCCGUGUUCUUGCAAACUGCACUUUGAUAUGUCUUUGGAACAGUUCUGCCCUCCUACAUGGAGGUUUUUCCUCUUCCAGCUGACCAUAUGGUGGCUGUUUGGCUAGCCUGCUGCUGUCCGUCCUCUGCACAUGGCCAUUAAAGCAGUGCUCUUGCAAAGGAAAACAGUCUGUGGGAUUUCUUCUGUUUCCCGGUUCCAGAUCCAAUGAACUCCUUUCUCCAAUCUUGUACCAACACUGGGAGCUGGCUGCCAAGAGAAUGGAAGAAGAGAAGGGAAUGGUGUCAAGCCUUGACAAGCACAGUGUGUGGCUGCCAUUAAGAGAAAAUGUGUCAUGCAACCAGCUAUUCUAAGCACCAGUGACUGGCAAAAGGAGGAUGGAGUGGUGGUGUCCUCACGGUAGGCUUACCGGCGCUUGGGGGCAAAUGGGGAAGUCCAGGGCAUAAACUGUGGUCCUGGAAAAACUUGUGUGAAUAUGAAGAAGUCCUGGAGGGACGAUAGGCAUAACGUAAGAGGCAGCAGUGGUAAGUAUACAGCUGUUAUCUGCAGAAGCUUAUGAUUUUCUCUUUGUUGAAAGUAAAUCCAUGUCAAACAUUGUUCUAGGCAAUUCAUAUAGAUUACUUCACUUAAUCCUCAUGACAAUGCAAUAAGGUCAGUAUUAUUAUGCUCUUUAUAUUACAAAUGAGGACUCCAAAAAAAAAAAAAACAUGAAUAAGCAAGUAAUUUGCCCAAGUUAUACAAAUAACAUAUUGCUGAGGUAGGAUUUGAUUUGAACCCAACAAAUCAAACUCUGGAACCCAAUAUCAUAUUUUAGGUAUAAUUUAUAUACAGUAAGAGGGCCUUGUUUGGUUUAUAAUUCUAUGAGUUUUGGUACAUGUACCCAACCUUGUAACUGCUACCUACUCAAGAUGUAGAACAGUUUUAUCAUUUUCCCUAAUCUCCUUAUGAAUGCCCUUUUCUAAUCAGUCCCCUCCCCUUUUCCCAGUCCCUGGAAAUCACUGAUCUGUCUGUUUUCUUUAUAGUUUUCACUUUUCCAGAAUGUCCUAUCAAUGGAAUAAUAAAGCAUGAAGGCUCUUGAGU